ACUAUCACAAAGGGGAGCCUUCUUUGGCUGAGAAUGAGGAAACUCUAAACCCUUCGUACCUGUAUCGAUCAUUCGAGCGUAGGAAUUGUGAUGGAGUAAUGA
rnacentral:ncRNA from 2 species